GAUGUACUCCCUCCGUUCCGAAUUACUUGUCGCAGGUAUGGAUGUAUCUAGAUGUAUUUUAGUUCUAGAUACAUCCAUUUCUGCGACGAGUAAUUUGGAACGGAGGAAGUAAAGA
rfam:Triticum urartu cultivar G1812 contig884657, whole genome shotgun sequence.